rnacentral:rRNA from 1 species
CCUACGGGAGGCAGCAGUGGGGAAUAUUGCACAAUGGGGGAAACCCUGAUGCAGCGACGCCGCGUGAGUGAAGAAGUAAUUCGUUAUGUAAAGCUCUAUCAGCAGGGAAGAAAAUGACGGUACCUGAGUAAGAAGCCCCGGCUAACUACGUGCCAGCAGCCGCGGUAAUACGUAGGGGGCAAGCGUUAUCCGGAUUUACUGGGUGUAAAGGGAGCGUAGACGGCAGUGCAAGUCUGGAGGGAAAGGCGGGGGCUCAACCCCCGGACUGCUCUGGAAACUGUACGGCGUGAGUGCAGGAGAGGUAAGUGGAAUUCCUAGUGUAGCGGUGAAAUGCGUAGAUAUUAGGAGGAACACCAGUGGCGAAGGCGGCUUACUGGACUGUAACUGACGUUGAGGCUCGAAAGCGUGGGGAGCAAACAGGAUUAGAUACCCUUGUAGUC